rnacentral:rRNA from 1 species
AACUCGCCUGCAUGAAGCUGGAAUUGCUAGUAAUCGCGGAUCAGCAAGCCGCGGUGAAUACGUUCCCGGGCCUUGUACACACCGCCCGUCACACCAUGGGAGCCGGGAAUGCCCGAAGUCGGUGACCCAACCGUAAGGAGGGAGCCGCCGGAGGCAGGCCUGGUAACUGGGGUGAAGUCGUAACAAGGUAUC